AACGAACGCUGGCGGCAUGCUUAACACAUGCAAGUCGAACGAAGCCUUCGGGCUUAGUGGCGCACGUGUGCGUAACGCGUGGUAAUCUGCCCCUUGCUUCUGAAUACCAGUUAGAAAUUACUGCUCAUACCGGAUGAAGUCCUCGUACCAAAGAUUUAUCGGCAAGGGAUGAGCCCGCGUAGGAUUAGGCAGUUGGUGAGGUAAAAGCCUACCAAGGCGACGAUACUUAGCUGUCCCGAGAGGAUGAUCAGCCACACUGGGACUGAGACACGGACCAAAAUCAAACGGGAAGCAGCAGUGGGGAAUAUAGGACAAUGAAAGCAAGUCUGAUAAAGCAGUGCCGCGUGAGUAAUGAAGGGCUUAGGGUUGUAAAACUAUUUUACCAGGGAUGAUAAUGACAGUACCUGAAGAAUAAGCACCGGCUAACUCCGUG
rnacentral:rRNA from 1 species